rnacentral:tRNA from 1 species
GUUUUAUUAAUAUAAAAAGUAUAUUUAAUUUCCAAUUAAAAAGUUCAAAAGAAUUAAACA